rfam:Ciona savignyi cont_59889, whole genome shotgun sequence.
GUCGUCGUGGCGGAGUGGUUAAGGCGACAGACUAGAAAUCUGUUGGGCUCUGCCCGCACAGGUUCGAAUCCUGUCGGCGACG